rnacentral:rRNA from 1 species
UACGGAGGGUGCAAGCAUUGAUCGGAAUUACUGGGCGUAAAGGGCGCGUAGGCGGCAAGGCAAGUCAGAUGUGAAAUUCCGGGGCUCAACCCCGGAGCUGCAUUUGAAACUGCCUAGCUAGAGGAUAGUUAGGGAAAACGGAAUUCCACGUGUAGCGGUGAAAUGCGUAGAUAUGUGGAAGAACACCAGUGGUGAAGACGGUUUUCUGGGCUAAACCUGACGCUGAGGCGCGAAAGCAUGGGGAGCAAACAGG